AAUGAACGUUGGCGGCGUGGAUUAGGCAUGCAAGUCGCGCGACAAGGAACCUUCGGGUUCUGGAGGAGCGGCAAACGGGGUAGUAAGGCAUCGGAACGUACCCUCUUGUUGGGAAUAGCCGCGGGAAACUGCGAGUAAUGCCCAAUAAUCCCUACGGGGCAAAGGUCCGCCGCAGGAGGAGCGGCCGAUGUGAUACCAGCUAGUUGGUGAGGUAAUGGCUCACCAAGGCUUAGACGUCUAGGGGGUGUGAGAGCAUGGCCCCCACCACUGGACGUGAGAUACUGCCCACGACACCUACGGGUGGGCGUGCAGUCGAGAAUACUUCGGUCGAAUAGGGCGGCAAGACCUCGACCGACGCAACGACCGCCGUGCGGGAGUGAAGGACCCGUUCGGGUUGGUUAAACCGA
rnacentral:rRNA from 1 species